rnacentral:SRP_RNA from 1 species
AAAUGCUAGGUGGGGAGUUAGCGGUGCCCUGUACUUGCAAUCCGCUUUAGCAAGGCUGAAUACCGAGAUUCGGGUAGUUAUUGUGAUGUCGAGUUUAACACGUAGUGUUGAGACUGAGGCCCCUCAUGACGCAAAACUUAUGAACCAUGUCAGGUCCGGAAGGAAGCAGCAUUAAGUAAGGUUUUUGUGGGUGUGAGCUAUGGUUAAGGUUGAGCUGUCGAUUAAACUAACGGUUGUUUUAACUAUUCAACUCUCGGUUGCAUUU